UUUAAUUUUAGAUUAACUUCAAAAUUUUCUUCCAUUUUUCUUCUACAUUUUAACUAGGCUGAUUAUCCCACCAAUUUAGCCCAUUUGGCUGCUAUUCAGAUGUGUAUAUAUAUUUUGAACUGCAUUGCCGAGUAGCCAGCUGGCUCGGAGGAAAGUGCAGUGACUUAGUUCAGAUACGUCAUCACCCUUUGUAAAUGAUGAGGGGAAAGAGCACCAUCUACCAACCCAGAGAGAGCAAGGCCAAUGGUGCUCUCUCAGGGCUCCUGCAGCUGAUGGCUAGCUGCAUGACCGGGAUUCAAACCAGUGAUCUCCCGAUCAUAGUGGCAGCUUUUAGUCUGGUGCACCACUUGGCACCCAGGGCAAUAAUAUUAAUCAGGUUUUGUUCAUUUCAACAGUUCUUCAAUAAGUUGAGCAGAGUGUAAAAGGGUUAAAGAACCUAUUGUCACCCCUAAUUUUUUAAGAGUGUAGCCCAGUGAGGCUCUUCUAAAAUGAAAAGUGCUGUGUGGUGAUUUAUGAUUUUCUGCCAAGAUAAAAGCUCCUUUUAUCAAAUGUCACUGAAUAAAUAUUUAGGUGCACUGAAGGGAAAUGUAGCUUCACUGUGGUCCAGUGUAAGAGGGUUUGCAGAACCAGGAAAGAUUGGCCUCUUAAAAAUGGUACACAGAGUGCUUCUUUUAAGAGUCUGUUACUCUACAUCCGUUUAAUACACUAUAAAGACAGAAGUAUCAGGACACUUGAUCAUACUUUGUUGUGUUAUUUCCAGUAUCAAGGUGAUUAUCCUGUUUCUGCUGGAGUAACUGUCUGUUCUUUAUUGUACAGGGAAGACUUUCUACUAGAUUGUUGAUCAUUGCUGUGAGGAUUUGAAUGCAUUCAAGAGGGAAAAGAGGCAGAAAAGGUUUAGUGAGGUCAGGAUGUUGGAUGUUCACCAGACCUUAAACCCACUUCUUUACAGCUCAUCCUCAAUUCAUCCCAAAAGUACUGGAUAGAGUUCCAUCAUCAAUACCCCUCGAUGCAUGGAGAGCUUUAUACCCCUCUUGCCCACAACUUACAUUAGACAUGGGGUUAAAGGUUGAAGUUUAAAGUAACUGAAUGCUUUUAUUAGAAGUGGUAUACAAAAAUAUUUAGACUUACAGUAGAGACUUUCUAGAAAUCCUUUUUGCGUCUUUACCAGGCAGUUAUUUCCAGUCAUGCAAGACCAGCCUCCUAUCUGUUUGAAUGGAGAAAAUCAAAGUAAUGGAAACUGAAGAUCUCCAUAUCAAGGGGGCUUACCCAAUGGCAUGCUGAUCCCCCCCCUCUGCUCCCGGCUUAACCAGCAAGCUGAUUGGCUCUUUUUGUUAAAGCAUGAAAACAGUGGCCAGCCCCCCCAUGGACUCUCAUACUCAGUGACCUUUAUCAGGGCCGUGUUAUGACGUGGGUCAGCAGAAGAUCAACGCCGUGGCCUCCUGCUGCCUGUAGGCAUGAGGGAACAGAUCAAACAGGAGUCAGGACUGAGCUUCACAUCAACAACAGUGUGCCAGAGCAAUGCUCCACUCAUCUGGCCUCGGAGACUCUCUCUACUGAACUCAGAACAGCUUUAAGCUCAUCUGACAUUUACCUGACCUACUUUUUCAAAUUAAUAAAAGCUUUGGGAUAACACAAUUAAUACCACCUUCAGACUAGCUGGUAUAUCUUUGAGACUUAAAAAAUUGAGGAGUAGCAUAAUUUGCUUCUAAUGAGAAUGCAAAAAUUGAGUCCAGAACCUUUUACAAUAUUUACAUGAAGUUGCUCUUAUCUAACAUACAUUCUGUAUUUUUUUUCUCAUAGAUGACGGCCCUUUGUUGUCAUAGAACCAAUAUUGAUUUCAAUAAAUCAAUUUAUUUUAAGUAAUAAUUGCAUUCAACAAUUUUUAUGCCAUACACAAUACAGAAUUCAACCAA